AUUUUUCAACAAAAUAAUUCGCCAGGGGACUACUAGCAAUAGCUUAAAACUCAAAGGACUUGGCGGUGCUUUAUAUCCCUCUAGAGGAGCCUGUUCUAUAAUCGAUAAACCUCG
rnacentral:rRNA from 1 species